rnacentral:rRNA from 1 species
GUACACUCCUGCGGGAGGCAGCAGUGGGGAAUUUUGGACAAUGGGCGAAAGCCUGAUCCAGCAAUGCCGCGUGAGUGAAGAAGGCCUUCGGGUUGUAAAGCUCUUUUGUCAGGGAAGAAACGGUGAAAGCUAAUAUCUUUUGCUAAUGACGGUACCUGAAGAAUAAGCACCGGCUAACUACGUGCCAGCAGCCGCGGUAAUACGUAGGGUGCAAGCGUUAAUCGGAAUUACUGGGCGUAAAGCGUGCGCAGGCGGUUUUGUAAGUCUGAUGUGAAAUCCCCGGGCUCAACCUGGGAAUUGCAUUGGAGACUGCAAGGCUAGAAUCUGGCAGAGGGGGGUAGAAUUCCACGUGUAGCAGUGAAAUGCGUAGAUAUGUGGAGGAACACCGAUGGCGAAGGCAGCCCCCUGGGUCAAGAUUGACGCUCAUGCACGAAAGCGUGGGGAGCAAACAGGAUUAGAUACCCCAGUAGUCC